rnacentral:rRNA from 1 species
AGAGUUUGAUCAUGGCUCAGAUUGAACGCUGGCGGCAGGCCUAACACAUGCAAGUCGAGCGGUAGCACAGAGAGCUUGCUCUCGGGUGACGAGCGGCGGACGGGUGAGUAAUGUCUGGGAAACUGCCUGAUGGAGGGGGAUAACUACUGGAAACGGUAGCUAAUACCGCAUAAUGUCGCAAGACCAAAGUGGGGGACCUUCGGGCCUCAUGCCAUCAGAUGUGCCCAGAUGGGAUUAGCUAGUAGGUGGGGUAACGGCUCACCUAGGCGACGAUCCCUAGCUGGUCUGAGAGGAUGACCAGCCACACUGGAACUGAGACACGGUCCAGACUCCUACGGGAGGCAGCAGUGGGGAAUAUUGCACAAUGGGCGCAAGCCUGAUGCAGCCAUGCCGCGUGUGUGAAGAAGGCCUUCGGGUUGUAAAGCACUUUCAGCGGGGAGGAAGGCGUUAAGGUUAAUAACCUUGGCGAUUGACGUUACCCGCAGAAGAAGCACCGGCUAACUCCGUGCCAGCAGCCGCGGUAAUACGGAGGGUGCAAGCGUUAAUCGGAAUUACUGGGCGUAAAGCGCACGCAGGCGGUCUGUCAAGUCGGAUGUGAAAUCCCCGGGCUCAACCUGGGAACUGCAUUCGAAACUGGCAGGCUAGAGUCUUGUAGAGGGGGGGAGAAUUCCAGGUGUAGCGGUGAAAUGCGUAGAGAUCUGGAGGAAUACCGGUGGCGAAGGCGGCCCCCUGGACAAAGACUGACGCUCAGGUGCGAAAGCGUGGGGAGCAAACAGGAUUAGAUACCCUGGUAGUCCACGCCGUAAACGAUGUCGAUUUGGAGGUUGUGCCCUUGAGGCGUGGCUUCCGGAGCUAACGCGUUAAAUCGACCGCCUGGGGAGUACGGCCGCAAGGUUAAAACUCAAAUGAAUUGACGGGGGCCCGCACAAGCGGUGGAGCAUGUGGUUUAAUUCGAUGCAACGCGAAGAACCUUACCUGGUCUUGACAUCCACAGAACUUAGCAGAGAUGCUUUGGUGCCUUCGGGAACUGUGAGACAGGUGCUGCAUGGCUGUCGUCAGCUCGUGUUGUGAAAUGUUGGGUUAAGUCCCGCAACGAGCGCAACCCUUAUCCUUUGUUGCCAGCGGUCCGGCCGGGAACUCAAAGGAGACUGCCAGUGAUAAACUGGAGGAAGGUGGGGAUGACGUCAAGUCAUCAUGGCCCUUACGACCAGGGCUACACACGUGCUACAAUGGCAUAUACAAAGAGAAGCGACCUCGCGAGAGCAAGCGGACCUCAUAAAGUAUGUCGUAGUCCGGAUUGGAGUCUGCAACUCGACUCCAUGAAGUCGGAAUCGCUAGUAAUCGUAGAUCAGAAUGCUACGGUGAAUACGUUCCCGGGCCUUGUACACACCGCCCGUCACACCAUGGGAGUGGGUUGCAAAAGAAGUAGGUAGCUUAACCUUCGGGAGGGCGCUUACCACUUUGUGAUUCAUGACUGGGGUGAAGUCGUAACAAGGUAACCGUAGGGGAACCUGCGGUUGGAUCACCU